GCCACGGUGGUUUAGCGGUUAGAACGCAGGCCUUGUAAUCCUGGGGUCUCGGGUUCGAUUCCCGGCGGUGCCC
rfam:Zootermopsis nevadensis contig9280, whole genome shotgun sequence.